ACGAGAAGCCACGAAAUUUCCCUCCCCACCGUGCCUUAUCUCCUCGCUUGACUUCCCCCAAAUCUCAGUCUUUCUAUUCCUUCUCGUGCAAACUCCAACUGCGGCGGCGCAGGAGAGCGCCCCUCCCCGGUGUCGCGGUGCGGCAGCGCAAGUGAGUGCGCCACCACGGCACAACACACCUUGGCACCUCUGCGGUGCGGCGGCGCAAGGUGGGCAAGCACCUCGGCGCGGCGGAGUGUGAAGGAGCCGGGAGAAUAGUAACGCCGCACGCGAGCACGCACGAGGAGGAGGAGGAGCCAACGAGAAAUCAGUCGAGGAGGAGCGCGGAGGCGUGGACAGCCUGCCCUGCGCUGCGCCGCCCUGCGCUGGCCGGCCGGCCCCCCACCAAGGAGCCGAUGCUGAGGGCCCGAGUGGAUCUGCGCUGGGGCAGAGUGGAUCUACGUCGGGGUGUCGCAAACCAGGGGCCGGGGAGCUGAGCGGAAGGGCACAGCGGUGGUAGCGAGCGGUAAGCCUUUUCCUCGUAUCCUCUCCCUCUGAACUCAUCCAGGAGCCGAUCUGUAAAGGUCACGGUCGUUUCCUGAGAACUCCAAUCGACAGUGCCAUCCUGGAGGUGUUUUCCUUCAAUCGACAGUACUCGGUUAAUCUCCUGAGAACUCCGAUCCUGAGAACUCCAAUCGACAGUACUCGGUUAAUUCCUGACUUUUGCAAUGUCUACAGUUUUUUUCUAAUUCACCCAGGUUGGACAAAAAGCUUUGAGCAAGCAGUACUAAGUUCCUAGCAUGGUCUGGACACAUGAUUUUCUAGAGUAUUUUCCCCUACAUGUGAGUGCUACUGCGGUUUCCAGACCACAUGACUUUUGCCUUGUCUGCAGGUUUUUCCUAAUUCACCAAGGUAGGGCAGCAAGAUUUAAUAAAGCAGAACUAAAUUCCCUGCAAGGUGGAAAGAUCAGUUGAAUAUGUUUGGACAUCACUGGAAGCAAGAAGAUUAAGAACCAUGUCCCACCUGUCUGGGAUUUUUUUAUUGCACCUACUACUAGCUGUUUAUUAUCUAACAUUUAUUAAUUUUCUAUGUGCUACAUAUUGGUCUAGAUAAAAUUUCUGGACGAUUUCUUUCUUGAUAAGGUUGCAUUGUAUCAGUUACCUUGCGCUUGGACAAUCAGUAUUGCUGUAGAUUGUAUAGUGACAUCAACUAAUUUGCGAGAUGACAUGCCAAUUCAAUAAACUACUGCUAAUCUGCUAAUAUAUUAGUUGAAUUCCUAAAUCCUCAUGUAUUAGGCAUUAGCUGCUGAACUAUAUAGUCCCCCCUGGAAUUAGCGGCAUUAUUGUGAGUUCUGCCUCUUAAUGCUAUUUUGUUCUAGAUCAGAUCAUUUUAGGUAAACAACAAUUGUGAAGCUAGUAAACAAUUUUCUGCAGCCAUCUUUUUGUUUCACUUGAUGUAGUUGUCAUUGCUAUGUGUCGUGUCUCCAUGUUUCAUUUCUUACUGUAACCGUGCUUAUUGGUUGGUUCCAUUUAUCUUGUUUUAAUUGUAGAGAGGGACCAGAGAGAUGUGCAGAAGCUGUUGCAUUGCCAACACAGGCCUGUUAGGAAACAAUAGUUACUUGACUCCUACUUAUCAUCUUUUAUUUGUAUGGCAGCUUAGUUAAAUUGAUAAACAGAGCUCUGUAAUAAAUUUGCAACAAUAGUGUUUUAGAUGGCAGCUUACUUACACAUAACUAGCUGUGAACUUAAUUAAUUGAUUUAGUCUAGAGUGUUGUUAAAACAAUGCAUGGUGUUGGUGUAGUGAGAUCAUAUAUGCAUAGAUUAUUGUAACUGUUGUUUGAUUUCUUCCAGCUUACAUAUGAAAAGUUCCUUUUUGACUUUUUCAUUUGUUUCAACAAGUGAUGUUUGUUUCUAAUAUCUUUUCUACAGGACAUGGAGAAAUUUCAGCAACCUAAGGUAUUCACUCAAGCUACUGACACCAAAAACACCUAGCUGGCAGCACCUGUUGAACUAUUAGUUUGGUGACUAAGGUCACUUGUGAGAUAGGGAUGUGAGAUUUCCAUUUGUUUAAAUUAUCUGAGAUAACUUUAUGACUAAGUUCACUUGUUGAACUAUAGUUUGGUGUUCGUGAUGGAUGUAAUAAAUAUAUUGAUGAAUGACUUGUGAACCUGUUGGUUUGAUCAUGAAUGGAAUAUAUUGUUGGACAUACAUUUGUUAA